rnacentral:lncRNA from 1 species
GUGUUUUUGCAUUAAAUUUCUGCAUUUUAGUCAUUUUACUGAUAUUUCUGUGUUUUUGACUCUUUUUCUGUGUUUAUUUAUAUUAUAUGUUAUAUUUGAUAUUACUAAGUGCUUUGUAUGCAUAUCAAUAGGUAUAGAUCUGUACAAUUGAUUCUGAAGGAUGUUUUUAGGUGAGGUUUAGGAAUUUGUGUCAGAUGUUCAGACUCCAUGUUUUUUUUACCUACGAUACAGGGUAAAAUAUUUUGCACUAUAACACCCAUUUUUCUUUUCGAAUAGGACUUCAAUAGCCCAUAAAAGGUACAUUACCAGAAUUUAAGCAGGUUCUUUUGAUUUGAGACCCAAAUAAUAUUAAUGCAAAUAUAAGAUAAAAGCUAGAGUCAGCCUUUUCCCGCC